AACAUAACCUUUAGCAAAACAAAUAUUAAAGGCAACGCCUGCCCAGUGAACAAUUAAACGGCCGCGGUACCCUAACCGUGCAAAGGUAGCGUAAUCACUUGUCUAUUAAUUGUAGACCCGUAUGAAAGGCAAAAUGAGGGCCUAACUGUCUCUUAUAAUAAAUCAAUUAAACUGAUCUCCCAGUCAAAAAGCUGGAAUACCCACAUAAGACCAGAAGACCCUGUGAAGCUUAAACUAAACUAUUAAACCACAUAAUAACUCCUUUCGGUUGGGGCGACCUUGGAAAAAAAGAAAACUUCCAAAAAAAUGACCUCCUUCACACUAUUAAGGCCAACAGGCCGAUACUAGACCCAGCACAGCUGAUAAUUGAACCAAGUUACUCCAGGGAUAACAGCGCUAUCUUCUUCAAGAGCCCAUAUCAAAAAGAAGGUUUACGACCUCGAUGUUGGAUCAGGACAUCCUAUUGGUGCAGCCGCUAUUAAGGGUUCGUUUGUUCAACGAUUAACAGUCCUACGUGAU
rnacentral:rRNA from 1 species